ACCUGGGCUGUGCCCCCCUGCCAUGCAGGUUCGCAACUGCCCCAAGGAAAAGCCCCGGACUGCGGGUUAGGGCUGUGAGCUUGUGCUGCGAUCUGUGCUCUCACUUCCGGUUUGGGGCUCCACUGCCUCUAGUUCUCUCCUGCCUGCGCUGAUCUUCUCCCCGGCCCCUGAGGGGAAGAGAUUUUUUUCUGGAAGAGAUUCCAGAUUAUUUUCGGCUGGAACUGUACUCCAAACUCCAAAAGUGGCAGACAAACAGGACAGAAGGUGGACAGAGCUUCCGUGUAAGAGUGCUCUCUUUAGAUGCAUGAAUAUUCAGGUAAAGCAGGAAUUAAAUAAUAAAAAGUAAGGA